GCGCGAAACCUCCGCAAUGCACGCAAGUGCGACGGGGGGACCCCAAGUGCCACUCUUAACGGGGUGGCUUUUCAGGAGUGUAAAAAGCUCCUGGAAUAAGGGCUGGGCAAGACCGGUGCCAGCCGCCGCGGUAACACCGGCAGCUCGAGUGGUAGCCGCGUUUAUUGGGCCUAAAGCGUCCGUAGCCGGUCCGAUAAGUCUCUGGUGAAAGCCCACAGCUCAACUGUGGGAAUCGCUGGAGAUACUAUCGGACUUGAGGCCGGGAGAGGCUGGAGGUACUCCCAGGGUAGGGGUGAAAUCCUAUAAUCCUGGGAGGACCACCUGUGGCGAAGGCGUCCAGCUGGAACGGACCUGACGGUGAGGGACGAAAGCCAGGGGCGCGAACCGGAUUAGAUACCCGGGUAGUCCUGGCCGUAAACGAUGCGGACUUGGUGUUGGGAUGGCUUUGAGCUGUCCCAGUGCCGAAGGGAAGCUGUUAAGUCCGCCGCCUGGGAAGUACGGCCGCAAGGCUGAAACUUAAAGGAAUUGGCGGGGGAGCACCACAACGCGUGGAGCCUGCGGUUUAAUUGGAUUCAACGCCGGACACCUCACCAGGGGCGACAGCAGGAUGAUGGCCAGGUUGAUGACCUUGCCUGACAAGCU
rnacentral:rRNA from 1 species